ACCCCUGUUUGUGAAACUACACUUCACCGCCUAAACACUCGACCAUUUUACCCGUGUUCAUCAACCGUUGA
rnacentral:tRNA from 1 species